UACAGAGGUGCCAAGCGUUGUUCGGAUUUACUGGGCGUAAAGGGUGCGUAGGUGGUUUGGUAAGUCGGAUGUGAAAUCCUGCAGCUCAACUGCAGAACUGCAUUCGAAACUGCCAAGCUGGAGUACUGGAGAGGAGAUCGGAAUUCUCGGUGUAGCAGUGAAAUGCGUAGAUAUCGAGAGGAACACCAGUGGCGAAGGCGGAUCUCUGGACAGUUACUGACACUGAGGCACGAAAGCCAGGGGAGCAAACGGG
rnacentral:rRNA from 1 species